GACGAACGCUGGCGGCGUGCCUAAUACAUGCAAGUCGACCACAGUGGAGAAAGGGGGGGAAACACGAGGGUAACCAGCCAAUCAGAAGGGGAAAACACUAGGAAACAGGUGCUAAUAUUGUAUACUGAUGGCUGGACCCGCGGUGCAUUAGCUAGUUGGUGAGGUAACGGAUCACCAAGGCCACGAUGCAUAGCCGACCUGAGAGGGUGAUCGGCCACAUUGGGACUGAGACCUGGCCCAGACUCCUACGGGAGGCAGCAGUAGGGAAUCUUCCGCAAUGGACGAAAGUCUGACCGAGCAACGCCGCGUGAGUGAAGAAGGUUUUCGGAUCGUAAAACUCUGUUUUUAGGGAAGCGGUAUCUAACCAGAAAGCCACGGCUAACUACGUGCCAGCCGCCGCGGUAAUUC
rnacentral:rRNA from 1 species